UGGGGAAUAUUGCACAAUGGGCGCAAGCCUGAUGCAGCCAUGCCGCGUGUGUGAAGAAGGCCUUCGGGUUGUAAAGCACUUUCAGCGAGGAGGAAGGUGGUGAACUUAAUACGUUCAUCAAUUGACGUUACUCGCAGAAGAAGCACCGGCUAACUCCGUGCCAGCAGCCGCGGUAAUACGGAGGGUGCAAGCGUUAAUCGGAAUUACUGGGCGUAAAGCGCACGCAGGCGGUUUGUUAAGUCAGAUGUGAAAUCCCCGGGCUCAACCUGGGAACUGCAUUUGAAACUGGCAAGCUAGAGUCUCGUAGAGGGGGGCUAGAAUUCCAGGUGUAGCGGUGAAAUGCGUAGAGAUCUGGAGGAAUACCGGUGGCGAAGGCGGCCCCCUGGACGAAGACUGACGCUCAGGUGCGAAAGCGUGGGGCAGCAAACAGGAUUAGAUACCCUGGUAGUCCACGCUGUAAACGAUGUCGAUUUUGGAGGUUGUGCCCUUGAGGCGUGGCUUCCGGAGCUAACGCGUUAAAGUCGACCGCCUGGGGAGUACGGCCGCAAGG
rnacentral:rRNA from 1 species